rnacentral:rRNA from 1 species
AGCCAUAGCCAUAUCACCCUGCAGCUCAAGACUGGUUACUCACAGAAGUUACGCAGGGCUGAGCCGGGUCAGUACCUGUAUGGGAGGUCACAUGGGAAAACUACUUUGCUGUUGAAA